rnacentral:rRNA from 1 species
GUGAACGCUGGCGGUAGGCCUAACACAUGCCAGUCGCACGGCAGCACAGUAAGAGCUUGCUCUUACGGGUGGCGAGUGGCGGACGGGUGAGGAAUACAUCGGAAUCUACUUUUUCGUGGGGGAUAACGUAGGGAAACUUACGCUAAUACCGCAUACGACCUACGGGUGAAAGCAGGGGAUCUUCGGACCUUGCGCGAUUGAAUGAGCCGAUGUCGGAUUAGCUAGUUGGCGGGGUAAAGGUCCACCAAGGCGACGAUCCGUAGCUGGUCUGAGAGGAUGAUCAGCCACACUGGAACUGAGACACGGUCCAGACUCCUACGGGAGGCAGCAGUGGGGAAUAUUGGACAAUGGGCGCAAGCCUGAUCCAGCCAUACCGCGUGGGUGAAGAAGGCCUUCGGGUUGUAAAGCCCUUUUGUUGGGAAAGAAAAGCAGCAGGUUAAUACCCCGCUGUUCUGACGGUACCCAAAGAAUAAGCACCGGCUAACUUCGUG